rnacentral:rRNA from 1 species
UACGGAGGGUGCGAGCGUUGUCCGGAAUCACUGGGCGUAAAGGGCGCGUAGGCGGCCUGAUAAGUAGGGGGUGAAAUCCUGCGGCUUAACCGCAGGGCUGCCUUCUAAACUGUCAGGCUAGAGCACGGUAGAGGCAGAUGGAAUUCCCGGUGUAGCGGUGGAAUGCGUAGAGAUCGGGAAGAACAUCAGUGGCGAAGGGGGUCUGCUGGGGCGUUGCUGACGGUGAGGCGCGGCAGCGUGGGGAGCAAACAGG